UUAGCGCGGGCCACUGUUGUAGGUGAAAAGUCAGGGAGGAAACAUACGGGGAGGGGGGAUUUAAUUUAUAUCCGUACGCCAAUCGUAUUGCUGACGAAAAACGAUUCGGACCGAAGUUUCUUUUACACACGUGUGCGUACGUUUUCCCGCGUUCCCUAAUUAAUUGUGUACGCCUCUAGGAAAAUCAACAAAUGACCCCCUCGAAGGGCAGAGUAGAUAAAAUCUCCCUUUCCUAAAUAGGUGCUGCAUACAGCAAGAUUUCUGGUACGUGACGAUGUCGUUCACAGGAUGAAAAAAGCUGAAAAUAAAAAAACAUUGUAAAAUCGAUACAUUUCUCGCUCGCUACGCAUCCGAUUCUAAAACGGUCGGCCUCGUCCAGCCCCGAUUGGAACGCGGUUGUCCUUGGGAAACGUCCGUUCGUAUGUAUACAUAUACUCGAUCGCCGACUGUCGGUGACAUUUCGAUUUCCCCCCAUGCGAAAAUUCAAUAACAAUGCGAAACGUCGCGGCGAUUCAACCGAACCGUUUGUCGUUUUUCCGUACACGCAUUUCCCGAAAAAAAAAAAACGUCGCGUUGCCGAACGUACAGAUAUUAGUAUGAAUUCAAUAUCUGUCGCAUGAGUAAUACAUUCGAUAUUUUAUUUCGUACGCGAUACCGAGUGCCCCGGAAACUAUAUACGGUUUCGUACUGCAUGACGGGAAAGCGGCUUUUGGCACUGUACCGAACGGAUUUCGUCCGGCACUUCUCCGAUAAACGCGCGACGGCGUGCGCCCCCGUGCGUCAUGUCCCUCGAUUCCACCCCCCUCCCCCCCGUCGGCUUCGGAGUACAACGGGCAUCGGCGUUUCCACAACUAUGUAACAGUAGUGAUUUGUGUCCGAAUCACAACGCGGCGAAAAAAAUAUCUCGAUUGUGAUUCGACGCGGCCUUUUUUUUCGGAUCCGGCUUUUGAAUAUCCCGUGGUCGGGGCUAACCCCCGACGCAACCGCGGCCGAGGACCGGCCUGUACGAUUGUUUGUUAUUCGCGAAUCGCGAUUGUUUUUAGCGUUGACAAUUCCCGGGCGUGCCACCGACAACAAUAAUGAACGCGAACAUUUAUUUUUCAUGUGUAUUUCAAAUGUUCACGUCCCCGGGCGCCGUUAAAACGACGGAAAGUCUGGAAGAAAUCGUCGACAAAACCGUAAUCGAAAUCUGUUUUGUUUUUCGCAACAGUUUUAUCAGUUACGUGUAAUUCGCCGCCGGCAAAUUACGAAUUCGCGAUCGUCUUUUUUUGUGUCAAA